UACGUAGGGGGCGAGCGUUGUCCGAAGUUACUGGGCGUAAAGCGCGCGUAGGCGGGCUAUUAAGUUGGAUGUGAAAUCUCCGGGCUCAACCCGGAAACCGCAUCCAAAACUGUUAGCCUUGAGGUAUGGAGAGGGAAGUGGAAUUCCUGGUGUAGCGGUGAAAUGCGUAGAUAUCAGGAGGAACACCCGUGGCGAAGGCGGCUUCCUGGUCAUAUCCUGACGCUGAGGCGCGAAAGCUAGGGGAGCAAACGGGAUUAGAUACCCCGGUAGUCCUAGCCGUAAACGAUGGAUACUAGGUGUUAGUGGUAUCGACCCCACUAGUGCCGCAGCUAACGCAAUAAGUAUCCCGCCUGGGGAGUACGGCCGCAAGGUUG
rnacentral:rRNA from 1 species